AAUACCGGCCGUAUUUGGUUUUCGGUGUUAAAGAAGACUUUCAUUGGUAGCAUAAAGAGAAUUAUCAAUGAACAAUUGACAACUCCUACCUUUUCUUAUUGGCCAUUAACAUAAGAUUUUAAUUUUCACGUUUAUAAACGAGAAUACCGGUCGAUAUAUUGAAUUUCGAAGUACCUUCACGUUUUAUAAAUGUCACCAAUGACAUCAAAUAAGUACUUAAGUAAAGGAAUUUGAUAUGUUUAUAUAUAUCGUUUCCUCAUAUACCACAAACUUAUUUAGUUAAUUGUCUUUUAUUAAUAUGCAUAUUAUUAUGAGUUAUUAUCUCACAUAGAUUGUUGAAAGGCAGCUGAGACUUCGACAGUCGAAAGGUUUGGACAGUGAAAGGUACCUCUCGUGUGGAAACCAAAGUUUACAGCGGGCAUCCGGUGACCUUACUGUGUGCUUUUCUGGAAUAUCCCAUCAUCAAACAUAUAAAGAACCUGGUUUAGAAGUGAAAAUACACUGGGACAAACACGAGAAACAUUCAUUCACCGAUAAAUUAAUCCAUUUCAACAAAGGUGAGAUAAGAAUUCCUGAAGGACAGACAUACUUUGUCUAUGCGUCUGUUCAUUUUAACAUAACCGAAGGAGGUGAAGGAGCUUAUACAUAUAAAAGACGGUUUUUUGCGUUACGACUUUGUAGAAAAGUACAAAACUAUGAACAAACUCUCUUAUAUAACUCGAAAAAAUUUACAAAGAAUGCUACUGAUGUAAUAUCUAGUUUACAGGUAACAGGACUUCUUCAUCUUAAUAGAAACGACAGCAUAUACGUGAAAGUUUCGGAUGCAAAUCAGUUAAUUUUGAAUUCUAGAGGAAAUACAUUUGGAGUCUAUCCAAUUUAAUAUUCAUUAAAAGGAUAGAAUAUUACGUAAUGACACUUUUUACUGAGGUUGUAGUAACUGGAUGAAAACCAACUUUGUCUAUACCUGAAAUUUCUUUCUAAUUGGUUGAAACAUGCAUUAUGACUAGUAUAGUUAUUCUCUAUUAAGCAGAGUUUAAUUUUUGGACAGCUAUUUAUUAACUCGUACACAUUGUACAUCAAAUUACACUACCUUCUCUUAAUUACAGUUAAUUUAUGUUAAUUAUUUCAAUGAUUUAAAUCGCAAUUCUUAAAAACAUAUUUCAAAUGUUUGUUGUUGUUUACUGAAAUUCCUAUAGAUCACUUCUUCAACAAUAACUUGUAAUAUUAACAUGUUUAAGCAAAAUAUUAUUUGCGCAACAUUUAAAUCGAAUAGUGCGACGUACUCUCAAAAUGUUCUUUUGUUUUUGAAUAAUCCUGUUUACAUUAAGCUGUAAGCAUAAUGAUACAUUGCAAAACAGGUCCAAGGGUAAUCGUUUAAAUUAACAAAAUAUAUAACUAUGAAAAAAUCACUCACAUUAUAAUUAAAAUUUUACAAUGUCAAGUAUAAUAUUCCUUCACACUUUUUUCAAUUACCGGAUUGUGGAAGUAAAUUUGAAUUGAUAUAGCCCAAAAUAUACCAGAAAAUCGUUCGGAAUUCAGAAUUUAGAACUUCCGUAAUUCAGAGGUAUUAAUUACAUAAAAAGGGAAGGAGAAGUUUCGGGACCCUGAAAUGUUUUCGGAAUUCAAAAGUUUUCGAAUUUUAGAAGUUGUAACACUGUACAUGAUGUUUACCUUUAACCCUAUCAUAUAAAAAUAUACCACAUAUAUAAAGGUAAUUUUCUUUCGGAUGAAAAUAGGCGAUUUUUUCUUUUGGAAGGAAAUAUACUAAUUGUCAUGUUUUUUGCUUUAGCUCAGACGUCUUCCUAAUCACGUAGUAUUUACUAUUUUUCAAUUUACUCGUUAUAAACGCUACAUACAAACAGAGACUUCAGCGAAAUGUUUUUAUAGCACUGCUAGACCUGUUCUCUGAAGCCAAUCCCGUAUCGAAAGUCAACAAGCACGGUGACAUAUCUAUUGGCGUCCGCACCGAAGCGAGACGCCCCUUAUGGAAUGAAAUCAGAUUUUGUGAAAGGACAAUUGCAACUUCUCGGGCUUUUAGUCGGUCAUAAUAGCCGAUCAUUUCGAUUGGUAUGAGGGUGUUUGGUUAUAAACAUAAAAAGAAAUGUAGCGAUAUGUACAAUGAAUAGCAAACUGGAGAAUUUUGCAAUGCAAACAUUUUCAAAUAAAAUAAUCUUUUCCGUCAACUAAUUGCGCUCUUUGGGAUUUUUUUUAUUAAUUCUUAUGUAGUACACAGUGAGUUUUUAUGGUAUGUUAUUAUAUUACAUCUAUCUGAAAGCUGUAAAUAGAAAGAUGACCUUAACAUUGUGAAAGUCCUAAAAUCCUUUUUAUAGAGGGAUGUACUAUUCGCCGGUCUCCUAUCGGUAAUUCCCGGUCUUUCACCUCUAUAUUGACCGGAAUUUACUAGAGACCGGCGAAUAGUAUCACACGUUUAUUGUCCGGUCUCUCCCGGUUUUGGAGUUAAUGUUUGAUAUCGUUACAGAUAAAUAAGUUUUUUUCCCAAAAUGAAUGUUUGUCGCUUAGUUUGGUUACAAUAAUUAAUAAACAGAGAUCAACUCUCAAAUUUAUUUUUUAUUAUUAUACAUAAACAUAC